rnacentral:lncRNA from 1 species
GUUCAAAGGCCUUCGAUAGAUUCGAUCGCCUCUAAAGAGUGGUACCCAUCAUAUUUCUUGGUUUCUUAGUGACAAACAAUCACACUUUGGCCUUUCAGAAUGAGUUCCUUAGCCAGACAUUUUUUGUGAGGUAAACCAAGACCUCACACAUUCCAAAAUAGUAUUGUCAUUUAUUUAGUAGCAAACCAACAGUAGUGGUGGAACCGCCAUAGAUCACAAAGGAGAAAUGCCAGAGAGUCUUAAGUAAUGACAUAUAUAUUAAGCAGUAACAACAUAGCUUGUGAAGGGAUCAGGACAUGGACCACAAACCAAACAACACUGAGAAGCAGGACAUGGACCACAAACCAAACAACACUGAGAGGACCAAACUAGGAUAUACCACAAGUAGUCGAGAGGAACAGGGAGCAUCCAUAAAUAUAAAAAGGUGCCCAAAACUUUCCAUCUUCACUAAUAAGCCAAAACACCACAAUUGUGCCAGUGGUGGAACCGCCUCAUGUGGGCAUGAUAUUACCUCCGAGUGGGUGAGAGUCUUUAUGCACUUGAUGGGGGAAGCUGUGUCAUCAACAAGGAGGAAGCCACACUGUUUGGUAAUUCUGGAUAUAUCUCCCGCUGUUAGAGAAU